rnacentral:ncRNA from 1 species
UUUAUUUUAGCGCCUGGACAGUUUUUACUGUUGACGAGGAUAGGACUUAUCGAAAGAUUCGGCGGAUGGUUCUAUGGCAUAGUUACUGCCAUUAAAUAUUAGGUAAAAAAUUAUAGUAAUAUAAUAUAACAAAUCUAAUA